AAUUCGAUUGUUUGAUCAUGGCUCAGGACGAACGCUGGCGGCGUGCUUAACACAUGCAAGUCGAACGGUGAUGAGGAGCUUGCUUCUCUGAUCAGUGGCGAACGGGUGAGUAACACGUGAGCAAUCUGCCCUUGACUCUGGGAUAAGCGUUGGAAACGACGUCUAAUACCGGAUACGACUCUUGGAGGCAUCUCUGGGGGUGGAAAGAAUUUUGGUCAAGGAUGAGCUCGCGGCCUAUCAGCUUGUUGGUGAGGUAAUGGCUCACCAAGGCGACGACGGGUAGCCGGCCUGAGAGGGUGACCGGCCACACUGGGACUGAGACACGGCCCAGACUCCUACGGGAGGCAGCAGUGGGGAAUAUUGCACAAUGGGCGAAAGCCUGAUGCAGCAACGCCGCGUGAGGGACGACGGCCUUCGGGUUGUAAACCUCUUUUAGUAGGGAAGAAGCGUAACAGUGACGGUACCUGCAGAAAAAGCACCGGCUAACUACGUGCCAGCAGCCGCGGUAAUACGUAGGGUGCAAGCGUUGUCCGGAAUUAUUGGGCGUAAAGAGCUCGUAGGCGGUUUGUCGCGUCUGCUGUGAAAACCCGAGGCUCAACCUCGGGCCUGCAGUGGGUACGGGCAGACUAGAGUGCGGUA
rnacentral:rRNA from 1 species